AACCGCCGGUGUAAGGGUGAAAUCUGUGGAUAUCGGCAGGAACGCCAGCGGAGAAGUCGGCUCUCCGGUCCAUUCCUGACGCUCAGGGACGAAAGCUAGGGGAGCGAACAGGAUUAGAUACCCUGGUAGUCCUAGCUGUAAACGAUGGGCACUAGAUGCUUGUUCUUUUGGAUGGGUGUCGUAGCUAACGCGUUAAGUGCCCCACCUGGGGACUACGGUCGCAAGACUAAAACUCAAAGGAAUUGACGGGGGCCUGCACAAGCGGUGGAACACGUGGUUUAAUUCGAUGUUACGCGAGGAACCUUACCAGGGCUUGACAUGCUGGAAGUAGCCACCCGAAAGGAUUGGCCACCUGUAACCAAUCAGGAACCAGUGCAGGUGCUGCAUGGCUGUCGUCAGCUCGUGCCGUGAGGUGUUCCCUUAAGUGGGAAAACGAGCGCAACCCUCGUCCUUAGUUGCUAGUUUCGAGUAAUCGGAACGCACUCUAAGGAGACUGCCCGCGUUAAGUGGGAGGAAGGUGAGGAUGACGUCAAGUCCGCAUGGCCCUUAUGCCCUGGGCUACACACGUGUUACAAUGGCGCAUACAAUGGGGGGCUAAGCCGUAAGGUGGAGCAAAUCCUAUAAAGUGUGCCUCAGUUCGGAUUGAGGGCUGCAAUUCGCCCUCAUGAAGCUGGAAUCGCGUAGUAAUGGCACAUCAGC
rnacentral:rRNA from 1 species